rnacentral:rRNA from 1 species
GAUGCCUUCGGGAACCGUGAGACAGGUGCUGCAUGGCUGUCGUCAGCUCGUGUUGUGAAAUGUUGGGUUAAGUCCCGCAACGAGCGCAACCCUUAUCCUUUGUUGCCAGCACGUAAUGGUGGGAACUCAAAGGAGACUGCCGGUGAUAAACCGGAGGAAGGUGGGGAUGACGUCAAGUCAUCAUGGCCCUUACGAGUAGGGCUACACACGUGCUACAAUGGCAUAUACAAAGAGAAGCGAACUCGCGAGAGCAAGCGGACCUCAUAAAGUAUGUCGUAGUCCGGAUUGGAGUCUGCAACUCGACUCCAUGAAGUCGGAAUCGCUAGUAAUCGUAGAUCAGAAUGCUACGGUGAAUACGUUCCCGGGUCUUGUACACACCGA